UGAGUGCGAGCUUCUACGGAAGCGAAGUUGGUGACGUCAAGCUUCCAAGAAAAGCCCUAUACCCGUUAAGGCAUGAUUACCUGUACCCGAAACCGACACAGGUGGGGUGGUAGAGAAUACCGAGGGGCGCGAAGUAACUCUCUCUAAGGAACUCGGCAAAAUGACCCCGUAACUUCGGGAGAAGGGGUGCCAGCGCGAGCUGGUCGCAGUGAAUAGGCCCAGGCGACUGUUUACCAAAAACACAGGUCUCCGCUAAGUCGCAAGACGAUGUAUGGGGGCUGACGCCUGCCCAGUGCCGGAAGGUUAAAGAAGUUGGUCAGCGCAAGCGAAGCUAACGACUGAAGCCCCGGUGAACGGCGGCCGUAAUAAUAACGGUCCUAAGGUAGCGAAAUUCCUUGUCGGGUAAGUUCCGACCCGCACGAAAGGCGUAACGAUCUGGGCGCUGUCUCGGAGAGAGGCUCGGCGAAAUAGAAUUGUCUGUGAAGAUGCGGACUACGUGCACCCGGACAGAAAGACCCUAUGAAGCUUUACUGUAGCUUGGUAUUGUGCUCGGGCUCGCAAUGCGCAGGAUAGGUGGGAGGCUUUGAUCCAUUGCUUGUGGGUGAUGGUGAGCCACUGGUGAGAUACCACUCUUUGCGAGCUAGGGUUCUAACGGUUACCCGUCAUCCGGGAACCGGACAGUAUCUGGUGGGCAGUUUGACUGGGGCGGUCGCCUCCUAAAAGGUAACGGAGGCGCGCAAAGGUUUGCUCAGGCUGGUUGGAAAUCAGCCGACGAGUGUAAAAGCAGAAGCAAGCUUGACUGUGAGACCUACAAGUCGAACAGGGAGGAAACUCGGCUUUAGUGAUCCGACGGUUCUGAGUGGAAGGGCCGUCGCUCAACGGAUAAAAGUUACUCUAGAUAACAGGCUGAUCUCCCCCAAGAGUUCACAUCGACGGGGAGGUUUGGCACCUCGAUGUCGGCUCAUCGCAACCUGGGGCUGAAGUCGGUCCCAAGGGUUGGGCUGUUCGCCCAUUAAAGCGGUACGCGAGCUGGGUUCAGAACGUCGUGAGACAGUUCGGUCCAUAUCCGGUGCAUGCGCAGGAAUAUUGAGAGGAUUUCUCCCUAGUACGAGAGGACCGGGAGGAACGCACCUCUGGUGUACCAGUUAUCGUGCCAACGGUAAACGCUGGGUAGCCAUGUGCGGAGUGGAUAACCGCUGAAAGCAUCUAAGUGGGAAGCCCACCUCAAGAUGAGUAUUCCCAUGGCUUAAGCCAGUAAGGUCACGGGAAGAACACCCGUUGAUAGGCUCUAUGUGGAAGCGCAGUAAUGCGUGAAGCAGAGGAGUACUAAUAGACC
rnacentral:rRNA from 1 species